rnacentral:rRNA from 1 species
GACGAACGCUGGCGGCGUGCUUAACGCAUGCAAGUCGAACGGAAAGGCUCUGCUGUUGUUGUGUGCUCGAAUCGCGAGAGGAACAGUAACAUGAGAUUCACCUGCCUUUGGCUUUGGGAUCACAACUGGAGAGUGGGGCCACUAACGGACUGAUGCCGCUGGUGAAGGGUGGGGGGUGGACAGUCUCGGCGGGUGGGGAGGGACUCGCGGCAUCUCAGCGUGUUGGUGGGGUAGUGGCUUACCAAGGCUUUGUCGGGUAGCCGGCCUGAGAGGGUGACCGGCCACAUUGGGACUGAGAGACGGCCCAGACUCCUACGGGAGGCAGCAGGGGGGAAUGUUGCACAAUGGGCGGAAGCCUGAUGCAGGAACGCAGGGUGCGGGAUGAAGGCCGUCGGGUUGGAAGCCGCUUUCGCCUGUGACGAAGCGUGAGUGACGGUAAUGGGUAAAGAGGCACCGGCUAACUACGUG